GGGGCCUUAGCUCAGCUGGGAGAGCACCUGCUUUGCAAGCAGGGGGUCGUCGGUUCGAUCCCGACAGGCUCCACCAUUUGAGUGAAACGACUUUGGGUCUGUAGCUCAGGUGGUUAGAGCGCACCCCUGAAAAAGGGUGAGGUCGGGUGGUUUCGGAGUCCUUCCCCAGAACCCACCCACUCUUGAAUGAAGUGCCACACUUAAGAAUUUUAUAUGGCUUCAGCGUUGGAGGCUGAGACAUGUUCUUUUUAUAACCUUGUGACGUAGCGAAGCGUUUGAGAUAUCUAUCUAAACGUGUCGUUGAGGCUAAGGCGGGGACUUCGAGUCCCUAAAUAAUUGAGUCGUAUGUUCGCGUUGGUGGCUUUG
rnacentral:misc_RNA from 1 species